rnacentral:rRNA from 1 species
CAUGAAGUCGGAAUUGCUAGUAAUGGCAGGUCAGCAUACUGCCGUGAAUACGUUCCCGGGCCUUGUACACACCGCCCGUCACACCAUGAGAGUUGGAGAUACCCGAAGCCUAUGAGCUAACUUUUAGAGGCAGUAGUCGAAGGUAGAAUCAAUGAUUGGGGUGAAGUCGUAACAAGGUAUC